rnacentral:rRNA from 1 species
GAUGAACGCUAGCGAUAGGCUUAACACAUGCAAGUCGAGGGGCAGCAUGGUCUUAGCUUGCUAAGACUGAUGGCGACCGGCGCACGGGUGCGUAACGCGUAUGCAACUUGCCUCACAGAGGGGGAUAACCCGUCGAAAGACGGACUAAUACCGCGUACACUCCACUUUGGGCAUCCAAAGUAGAGGAAAUGAAAUUCGCUGUGAGAUAGGCAUGCGUCCCAUUAGCUAGUUGGUGAGGUAACGGCUCACCAAGGCGACGAUGGGUAGGGGAACUGAGAGGUUGAACCCCCACACUGGUACUGAGACACGGACCAGACUCCUACGGGAGGCAGCAGUGAGGAAUAUUGGUCAAUGGGCGAGAGCCUGAACCAGCCAAGUCGCGUGAAGGAUGACUGUCUUAUGGAUUGUAAACUUCUUUUAUACGGGAAUAACAAGAGUCACGUGUGGCUCCCUGCAUGUACCGUAUGAAUAAGCAUCGGCUAACUCCGUGCCAGCAGCCGCGGUAAUACGGAGGAUGCGAGCGUUAUCCGGAUUUAUUGGGUUUAAAGGGUGCGUAGGCGGCCUGUUAAGUCAGCGGUGAAAUCUAGGAGCUUAACUCCUAAAUUGCCAUUGAUACUGGUGGGCUUGAGUGUAGAUGAGGUAGGCGGAAUGCGUGGUGUAGCGGUGGAAUGCAUAGAUAUCACGCAGAACUCCGAUUGCGAAGGCAGCUUACUAAGGUACAACUGACGCUGAAGCACGAAAGCGUGGGUAUCAAACAGG